CCUACGGGAGGCAGCAGUGGGGAAUAUUGGACAAUGGGGGGAACCCUGAUCCAGCCAUGCCGCGUGUGUGAAGAAGGCCCUCGGGUUGUAAAGCACUUUCAGUGAGGAAGAACGCCUGGUGGUUAAUACCCAUCAGGAAAGACAUCACUCACAGAAGAAGCACCGGCUAACUCCGUGCCAGCAGCCGCGGUAAUACGGAGGGUGCGAGCGUUAAUCGGAAUUACUGGGCGUAAAGCGCGCGUAGGUGGCUUGAUAAGCCGGUUGUGAAAGCCCCGGGCUCAACCUGGGAACGGCAUCCGGAACUGUCAAGCUAGAGUGCAGGAGAGGAAGGUAGAAUUCCCGGUGUAGCGGUGAAAUGCGUAGAGAUCGGGAGGAAUACCAGUGGCGAAGGUGGCCUUCUGGACUGACACUGACACUGAGGUGCGAAAGCGUGGGUAGCAAACAGGAUUAGAUACCCCUGUAGUC
rnacentral:rRNA from 1 species